rnacentral:rRNA from 1 species
CCCAGACUCCUACGGGAGGCAGCAGUGGGGAAUAUUGGACAAUGGGGGGAACCCUGAUCCAGCGACGCCGCGUGAGUGAAGAAGUAUUUCGGUAUGUAAAGCUCUCUCAGCAGGGAAGAAAGAAAUGACGGUACCUGGGGAGGAAGCCCCGGCUAACUACGUGCCAGCAGCCGCGGUAAUACGUAGGGGGCAAGCGUUAUCCGGAUUUACUGGGUGUAAAGGGAGCGUAGACGGUUAUGUAAGUCUGGAGUGAAAGCCCGGGGCCCAACCCCGGGACUGCUUUGGAAACUGUGUAACUGGAGUACAGGAGGGGCAGGCGGAAUUCCUGGUGUAGCGGUGAAAUGCGUAGAUAUCAGGAGGAACACCGGCGGCGAAGGCGGCCUGCUGGACUGAAACUGACGUUGAGGCUCGAAAGCGUGGGGAGCAAACAGGAUUAGAUACCCGGGUA